rnacentral:siRNA from 1 species
ACUCCAAGAACUCACAUCGGCGCA